GGACAGGUUGCUGCGUGCUUCUCCUUCAUGUCUCGAGCAUUGCUCAGGUGUGGGUAGCACCCUUGGCUGAAGGCUGGGUGAAAUGCAGCUGCGUGAUGACUGGCAGCAAGACAGCCAAGGCAAACCCAGGUGAAAAGACCAGAGGAAGACCAGGCUGGCUGGCUCUGAGUGGUGCUCAGUCAGGGGUGCUUCCCAGAUGUGGGACCCCCCCCACCGCCCCAUCCCACCAGAAGGCAGUCUGCUGCACUGCUACGAGGGAAAAGCAGCGGCUGUCCCAGGUGGAUUUUUCUCCUGUACCGGUUGGUGCGUUACCUUAGCUUUCUGUAGGACUGUUCCCUUCCCUGUCACCAUGACGGAUAAAGGACGAUUUUUUAAAGCC